rnacentral:rRNA from 1 species
AUUGAACGCUGGCGGCAGGCCUAACACAUGCAAGUCGAGCGGAUGAAGGGAGCUUGCUCCUGGAUUCAGCGGCGGACGGGUGAGUAAUGCCUAGGAAUCUGCCUGGUAGUGGGGGAUAACGUCCGGAAACGGGCGCUAAUACCGCAUACGUCCUGAGGGAGAAAGUGGGGGAUCUUCGGACCUCACGCUAUCAGAUGAGCCUAGGUCGGAUUAGCUAGUUGGUGGGGUAAAGGCCUACCAAGGCGACGAUCCGUAACUGGUCUGAGAGGAUAAUCAGUCACACUGGAACUGAGACACGGUCCAGACUCCUACGGGAGGCAGCAGUGGGGAAUAUUGGACAAAGGGCGAAAGCCUGAUCCAGCCAUGCCGCGUGUGUGAAGAAGGUCUUCGGAUUGUAAAGCACUUUAAGUUGGGAGGAAGGGCAGUAAGUUAAUACCUUGCUGUUUUGACGUUACCAACAGAAUAAGCACCGGCUAACUUCGUG